rnacentral:piRNA from 1 species
UGUGAAUUCAGUUUGUUCGGCCAUUUCAC